rnacentral:misc_RNA from 1 species
CUAUCUAUCUAUCUAUUUCUCUUCCAGGUCUCAGUGGGGAAGGAAGUCAUCAGCUAUCCGACUGACACUGACCGUCCGACCAGCUGACCAUCAGACCAACCAACUGGCCUGCCAGCCAGCUCAGCUCAGCUAACCCAUCCAAACCGACACAGACAGACGGUAGUGGUGAUUGCGUCAGAGGUCAAAUCUUCUGGUCACACCCCCAAUGGUUAUAUCAUGGCCAGAUGCAAUGGAAGAUAUAGAUUACAAGGAGAAGAACUUCAAGCUAGACCUGGUCAGUCUCUACCACCCCCUUUGGAUGACCGAGGGUCAUUACAUCUACCAUCUACUCAAAGAUGACAGUGGUCAUCUCUGUUGUCAAACUGACCAAAAUGGGGAACCCAUCUGCUCCCCCAGGUUCUUGACUCAGCUGAGCAUCAUGAAACUAGUGUGUGACCCAUCACGAAUGCGCAAAAUGAAGUGCGGCGACAUUCCUAGCGACGUCUUCCCUGGUUUGUUGACGGAAGCAAUUCUCCAGAAAGAACUGAUCUCCAUAGAAUUCCUCGUGUCGAACUGGCCUCAUACAGUGCUUGACCUGCAGUUGCUGAUGCCCCUCGAGGAUUACCUGCGACCUGGUUACCUGACCCAGGUGCUUGGCGAGGGCAAUGGUAACAUGUCCCUACUUGAUUGUAUAAUGAUGGGACUUCUCAACCUCAAAUCCACGUCACCUUUGAAGGAAGUAAACCUCCUUGGAUUCAAGAAUGACAGAAAACUGUGUCGGGAGUUGGCCAGGCUGCCAAUCCUGUGGAUGGAACCAAAACGGAGGAAAGUUCAAUACAUCCAUGGAAUCGUCAGUAAAACAAUUGAUAUAUCGCCAGAUCGUGUUCGUAGGUUUCUCAACAGAAUCUCCUCCAUCUACUCCAACAUGGAUCCUUACAUAAAACAUGGAAACAAAAUCGGUCCCAUCAAGAUAAGAACCAACUGCAAGGUCACAUUGGAUGAUGUCCCCAUAGGGCUUGCCCUUCAACAAGUCUCUCCAUUCCGUUUUGACUGCACCCGUGUUUGGAUGGAGUCGAUUGCUGAAAUCUACCUGCCCCUUCGAAACAUCCCACUUUUAAUCAACUCCAAGUGUAUAACCCAUCUGGAGGUAGAAGAACAAAACCUGUGUAACGAUGUCUUCAAAUUGACUGAUUUCCUGGAAGGUCUAUUAAUGCUGACCAACCUCGAUGUCCUCAGCCUGCCCAACACCAUCCACGUGAACAUCUACCCGGAAGCGCCGUACAUGUUGAAUCAAGUCCUGCGUUCGCUGACCCGACUUCGCAAACUGCACCUACCAUCCUGUAACCUACGUGAUUCCCUCCACACGAUGCUCAGCGGACUCACAAAACAGAAGACGGCAUUCGAAUGCCUCAACCUGCGCGACUGUCGCCUCUCUGAGACGGACAUGGUGUUCCUCGUGCACUGGGAACGGCUCAGCGAAUUGCGAGAACUGAACCUCAGUCGCAACAACCUCAAGACGGUUGCGUCAGCAUGCGUCACCCUCCUAGACCGCAUGCCAGAAAUAACGUGCUUCUCCAUUUCAUACUGCUGCCUUGGUGCACCGAUGAUAAUACGCAUUGCAGAGAAGUGCAGCGAAUGCCGUUUUCUCAAGGCGUUUGCAUCGCAGACUUUCACGCCGCUGCCUUUCAUCGACGUGCAGGACAUCUUGGAGAAGUGUGCCGGCAUAAAGCAGCUUCAGAUGUGCACGAUCGUGCCGGAAACAUAUGCAUUCCCUGGUGCCAAUGACACGCAGCGCACUGAGAACAGGCUGCACUUCAUCGAGUCGUGCCAGGUCUACUUGCGACGUCUCGGCCAACCGGAUGUCGAGGUUGAAUGAACUGACAACAGAUGCUACCCCCUUCCACCCAAUGCUCUCUAGCGCAUACACACACACACACACACAUACACACACAUGUAUCAACAUACACACACAUAUAUAAACACACACACACAUAUAUAUAUAUACACAC